rnacentral:rRNA from 1 species
GACGAACGCUGGCGGCGUGCUUAACACAUGCAAGUCGAACGAUGAUGCCCAGCUUGCUGGGUGGAUUAGUGGCGAACGGGUGAGUAACACGUGAGUAACCUGCCCCUGACUCUGGGAUAAGCGUUGGAAACGACGUCUAAUACUGGAUAUGACUACCGGCCGCAUGGUCUGGUGGUGGAAAGAUUUUUUGGUUGGGGAUGGACUCGCGGCCUAUCAGCUUGUUGGGGAGGUAAUGGCCCACCAAGGCGACGACGGGUAGCCGGCCUGAGAGGGUGACCGGCCACACUGGGACUGAGACACGGCCCAGACUCCUACGGGAGGCAGCAGUGGGGAAUAUUGCACAAUGGGCGAAAGCCUGAUGCAGCAACGCCGCGUGAGGGAUGACGGCCUUCGGGUUGUAAACCUCUUUUAGUAGGGAAGAAGCGAAAGUGACGGUACCUGCAGAAAAAGCACCGGCUAACUACGUGCCAGCCGCCGCGGUAA